UACAAUUCCGAUUAUAUUCUAAUUGAUGCGUUUUUUAACCGAUUAAAGAAAGGACCGCUUUUUCCGAUUCAACAAACUUUUUUUGAUUUAUAUAUUUUUUUUUAGUAAAGUUCGUGAUCUCUUGUUGACAUUUGAUUGAUGUCAGCUGAUUAGAUCUUUUUGUUUGUACACAACUGAUGACUUUGUGAUUUUCUGUCAACAACUUUUCUUAUUAUUUGUAACUGUUUGAUCGGUGCAGGUUGCAGUUAAUCAUCGUUUUAUGUUACAAAUAAAUGUUAUGUUUUUUCAUACUUUGAAGAUUUUUUAUCCGAAAACAUUUGUUGACCAAUGUUAUUAUAUCAUAUUUUUGGAGUUAUGAGAAUGUUAUUUCUAGUUUUGAAUCAUGCGUUGUGGGCGUCGUUAUUUCUUUGAAAAUAUGUUAUAAAGAAAAACGAAUUAUUUGUUAUUUUGAAAGAUUUAGAUCCUUUCAUUGUUAUUUGGGAUGUUGUAGUAUUAUUUAUGUUUGAAUCAUAUAUUGUGGGCGUGAAAUAUUUAAAUUUUAUUGGUUUUAUGCAAGAUUGGAAGGAAUAGAAUAUCUUAAAAUAUUUGUUUUCUAAACAUCUAGGUAUUACACAAAAUAGUCAACUUUGUGGUUAUGUUAUUUCCAGCUCUUAGCCAACAAAAAACACAAAACUAGUAAAAGUGGGCCUAAGCUAAAUGAAAAUACUUUAAGCCUAAUUUAAAUUAUUUGUUUAUUUAACUAUAGAAUUGAUUAUUAUAUAUUAACAAAUCAAUAAUAAUUGUUAUUGGUAAAAGAAUGUGAUGUGUAAUGCUUAUUCAUCACAAACCUUGUUUUUCAUUUUUGUUUUAAUUAACCUCCCACAAUUUCUUUUAGAGCAUGUGUUCCAAAUGUUUUGGUGUUUAUUUGCCUUUAUAUUCACAAGUAGUCUCUCUUAUAUCUUUAAUGUCGUGAUUUUUAGCUUUUGUAAUUCAUAAGUCUGUGAUUCAACUUACAUUUAGGUCCAAAUAGACUGUUGGAUAGUAAUACAUAAAGAAGGAUUCAGGAAUAUGUUAUUGAAAGGAAUAUUAUGUCAUUAUUUAUACAAAAUAUACCUUGUUGUUCUUUUUGGUAUAUUUAACUUCUUUCUGAUUUAUUAAUUGGCGUUUAGCCUCCAAUCAAAUGACACUUCAAGGUAUGAAGGUAUUACCCUCUUCAUCUUUUUCAUCUUUUUGAUUCAUUGAUCAUUCCUUCAUACUUUUUUUGCUGAAGUGUAGUAUUUCUGUCUGUUGAGUAUUAAGUCCAAUUUUCCAAUCUUUACUAUGUCUAGUUUAAGCCAAUUCUCGACGCUGAUCUGCAACUCUAUCUUCUGUCCUCCUGGUUAGCGUUUCAUGUGAGCAAAGAGGUAGAAAUUGGAGGUAGUCUAGUCUAAGCUGUAUGGUGGGUGACAAAGGACAUCUCAUAGGAAAGACUGCAAGAGCUGCUUUGUUGCAGCUGCUGUAUAUAGAUGAUGUCUGAUGUCUACAUUCCUCUGCGCUUGUUCUGAAUUGCCCUUCAUAGACGUUGAAGAGUAACGCUGUAUGAGGGUUAGUGGGAUACGUUUUCUGUUAUUUUUGGAAAAUUGGAUUUGAAAUUUUUGGAUUUUCUAAUCUUUGUCGUCAUAAUUCCGAAUACUACUAGAUUUCUUACAAGAACCUAUAUGUAACCCCAAGUUGACUACCUCUUGAGUACUGUUGUUAAUGAAUUUCUUAAUAUCAAACUGGGGUUUUAAAUAGUUCUGCUGCAGAAUAACCAGAAAGGACAGCGACGGCGAUCUCUUUGAUCUUCAAAGGCUUCGAAUUUUGUGGUUUAUUGACCUACUUACAAUGUGUCCGCCAUCUUAUAGGUUGGAAUGUCCAAUGCGCGAGUUUCAAAACUGUAUUUCUUUUUAGAGUUUUAACACUCGUAAUUUAUCAAUUUACGAAAAUUUAUUUUUAGCACAGCAUUAUACAUCGAACAUAAGUGAGGUUAAGUUAAACAGACGCAGAAAAAUCAGUUUUGUCAGGAUAGCAUCUUUUCUGAUUAUUCUAUGGUUAUGCCAUUAAUGUGCCUGGUCUUGUCACGCAUUCCAACCUUGUGAUUUCCUAGCAUAUAUCCUUAACUGACUUCUGCAGCUGAUUAUACUUUUUUUUGAGCUUGUAUGUCUGGUAAUUCCCCUUUCGCAGUAAAUAAAGUGAAUUUUGGCGUAGCCAACAUUAUUUACAGCUCGUAUUCACUUUUUAACUUCAAAUUAAACAAAGAUUUCAACAGAUUGAUUUGAUAUCAGUUCCACACGAUCUUAUUACUGCAUUUGUAAGUUCUUUCCAAUUCGAUACACAAUUCAAGUGGAAACCGAAGUAGUUAAGUAUACCAGAUCGAUUUAUUGUGUGGUUUUUGUAUAUUGGUUUUGAUAUACAAAGUUUUAAUUAUUAUACAUCUAGCAAUUGUAAUGAAAUGUCCUUGGAUUAGUUUAUACAGGGUGGUCCAUUUAACGUGAGACAAGCGAUU
rnacentral:lncRNA from 1 species